rnacentral:lncRNA from 10 species
GGAGAAAUAAGGACACAUAUAUGGGAAUGGAAUGCAAAAGUUAAACUUUGGUUAACAAGAAUAUUUGGGCAGGUGCAGUGGCUCACACCUGUAAUCCCAACACCUUGGGAGGCCAAGGUGGGCGGAUCACUUGAGGUCAGGAGUUCAAGACCAUCUGGCCAACAUGGUGAAACCCUGUCUCUACUGAAAAUAAAAAAAACUAGCUGGGCAUGGUGGCAGAUGCCUGUAACUCCAGCUACUCGGGAGACUGAAGGACAAGAAUCACUUGAACCUGGGAAGCCGAGGGACGAGAAUCACUGGAACCCGGGAGGCAGAGGUUGCAGUGAGCUGAGAUUGUGCCACUGCACUCCAGCCUGGGUGACAGAGUAAGACUCUUGUCUCAGAAAGAGUAUUUGGUAAUAACCAUCAGAAUGACAUAUUCAUUUAUCCUUUGACCCAGAAUUUUAACUUCUUUCUGGGCUCUGAAAGGUACAUUUAGAAAAAUUUGGAAUGCUAUAUGCAAAAGAUUAAAAAUACUCGUGUCUAUUUAACAGGAAUGUAUUAUGGUGCAUCCACAUGAGGGAGUACUUAAGUCACAAAACAAUGAAGAGUUCUAUAUAACGUAAAAUGGUCUCCAGGAUAGAGUAAGUGGAAAAGCAAAGUGCAGAACAUUUAUGGUAUACCCACUACAUUUGUGUAAGAAAGGGUGAGAAAUGUGAAUGUAUGCACAUAGGUGUAUUUGCUUAUGUUUCAAAAAGAAACGAGUAAACCCAAAGCUAAUAAAAAUUGUUAGCAGGGGAAGGAAGGAGAUGAGGAUGGAAGCUAUUCUGUGAAUUUAACUUUUUCUAGAGUUUUGACUUUAGAACCAUCUAAAAUUUAACAUGACUGAAAAAGUAAAACAUGACCCUAAACCUAUCAACACAUUGUCUUAGUCUAUUCCUGCUGCUGUAACAAAAUGCCAUAGACUAAGAAUUUAUAAAUAAUAUUUACUUCUUGCACUUCUGGAGGCUGGAGAAGUCUAAGAUUUGGCACCAGCAGAUUGGUGUUUGGUAAGGGCUUGCUUUCUGCUUCCAGUACGGUGCCUUCUCGCAGUAUCAGAAGGGUAAAAGGGACAAACUCUCUCCCUCAAGCCCUCUUAGAAAGGCACUGAUCCCAUCCAUGAGUGUGGAGCCCUCCUGGCCUAAUCACCC